UACGUAGGGUGCGAGCGUUGUCCGGAAUUACUGGGCGUAAAGAGCUCGUAGGUGGUUUGUCGCGUUGUUCGUGAAAACUCACAACUCAAUUGUGGGCGUGCGGGCGAUACGGGCAGACUGGAGUACUGCAGGGGAGACUGGAAUUCCUGGUGUAGCGGUGGAAUGCGCAGAUAUCAGGAGGAACACCGGUGGCGAAGGCGGGUCUCUGGACAGUUCCUGACACUGAGACACGAAGGCCAGGGGAGCAAACGGG
rnacentral:rRNA from 1 species